AUAAAACUCUUAUCAGGCCAGGGCACAACUGAACGCAGAAUCCAUGUCUGAAGUAUGUAAGCAGUACAAUUCCGUUUCACUUUUCCUUCAUUUUUGAGUGGGUGUGUAUGAUUAAACAUAAAAAUGGCGACCAUGCAGCCAGAAACUACUACAGUCAAUGAUGAUAGUGUAUGCCCAAUCUGCUUUGAAAAGUUUACAACACCAAGAUAUCUCCCUUGUAGCCAUUCCUUUUGCCACAGUUGUUUAUUUUCUUACAUUGUCAGUCAGUGCAAGCCUAUGGAGCCUCGUUUGGGAUUCCACUGCCCGCUUUGUCGUGAAUACAUCCCGAGUGACGGAGACCCUGGAAACCCCGAGGGAUGGGCGGAACUUUUUCCAUCAAAUGAACUACAGAAAAUAGUUGAUCAAACAGAUGAAAUACAUUGUCAACCAUGCUUAAGAGAAAAUGACAAAGAGAAGGCUGCAAACUAUUGUCUAUCAUGCAAGGAGUAUCUGUGUGCACAAUGCACUAAGUAUCAUAGGAGAAGUUUGGCAUCUUUAAACCACACGUUAAUGUCAACUAUCGAAAUAAAACCAAAGAAAACAAUUUCUAUUAGAUUUGCAGAUAAUUGUCCCAAACAUCGACAUAAAAAAGUAAAGAUGUUCUGUCAUGACGACAAGCAACUAUGUUGUGAACUGUGUAUUAACACAGAUCAUAUAACAUGUGAAAGGGUGAAUAAACUUGAGGAUGCUGUACAAUUCUUAAAAGAAAGCGGAGAGAUAGAAUUACUGCUUAACGAAAUUAAUACAUUUAAACAGAAAUUAAUGAAGGCGAAAACAGAAGGAACAAUUAAUUUAUCCGAAAUCGAUAUCACAGUGGAUGAGAAUAUUGCCAAAACUGAAAAGGAAUUUUUAAACUUAAUGCAACAUUUUGAAAAUUUGAAGAAAGAAUAUGUAGAGGAAGUAUAUUCCACCCUUAAAAAAGGCAGAGACAAGCUUCAAAGGGAGAUUGCAAGUUUGGAAGAUGGAAUUUUCUAUACAGAAUACCUAGAAACAGGACUUAAAAAAAACAAAGAAAACAACAAACAAUACAGAGGCACUGAUGCGGUUUAUAAUAGUCAAGGAAAAAAUUAAAAAGGCAAAACUGCAACCAUUCAGACAAUUACAAGUAAAUAUUUUAGAAGAGAAAGCAACAGCUUGGACAAGUUUGCUUGGGUUCAAAGAAAUUGCAAAGAUUCAACUUGCUGUGUCUUCCACUCGGUGUUCUUAUUUGAAUAUCAGAACUGUAAAAAUAAAUGAACCUGAAAAGCAUACCUUAACAGGCGCGUAUUUUGUUAGCGGUUUAUGUCUUUCUAAUGGAGGGUUUUUAGCUGUAAACAAAACUGAGGCUGGAAUGUGUUUGCUGUUUAAUAGAAAAUGUUUUUUGAGUGAUAAAAAUUUGACGGGUAUGGUAACAUGGAUUGUGGAGUUCACUGAACCGUACGACGCCUGUUUAUGCGAAGGAGAAAUUUUCGUGACUAAUUGGAAAUCAAAUACUAUUGAUGUCAUUUCCUCCAAAGAUUUCCAUAAACUUAGAAGCAUUUCUCUACGUGACAACGUCUAUGGGAUAGCAAGCUGGAAUGGAUGCCUGUAUGUAGCAUGUACAUACCACAUCUUAAAAGUCGACGAAAUGGGGCAGACAUUAAAAGAAUAUAAUAAUGGUAUAAGAAUGCCAUACAACUUCCACCUUGUUGUAACAAGUACAGGUAUUAUAGUAUACAGUAACUCAAGAACCAAUCGAGUCAAGGCAAUGACUGAUGAAGGACAAAAUGUUUGGAGUUAUGAAAGUGACAAUUUGAAAAAUCCGCUUGCUCUGGAUACUGACUUUAAUGAUAAUAUCUACGUAGCCGGCAACGAAAGCAGAAAUAUACAUGUCCUCUCAAACUCUGGAGAGCUCAUUAGAUUGAUAGACAAUAUUCCUAGUCCACUUUCUUGCAAGAUAGACGAGGAAGAAGGUAUUAUAUAUGUAGCCAGUGGGCAAUCAAUGUACUUAUAUCGGAUGUAAUGUUCUUUUUUGAUCAAAGAAAGGAAUAGUUAAGUUUUCCAGUUCAAAUUCAAUUGUAGAUAUUCAUUUACCCACUGAUGAUUUGAAAAUUAUACAAAAAAUUAUCAUU
rnacentral:sRNA from 1 species